UAUCUGGCAAUUAUAUUUCAGUCAAGUGU
rnacentral:piRNA from 1 species